rnacentral:lncRNA from 1 species
AAUAGGAAAUAAAAUACUUGUUUGCAUUAAUAGAUAUGAAGAAUACAAUACAUCUUUUGGCUUUUUAGGCUUGUCAGACCCUAACUAAUGGUUUAGUUUCUCAUGGUCAUAAAGGGUCUUACACUGGAAAAGGGUUAUAGAAACUGAUGGAGGAUAAGGGAUGGAAAAAGGGAAUAAAAAAUAAUGGAAGAGAAGAAAGAAUUUUCUAAGGAAAAGUUCUCAAGCUUUAUGAGUAUAUUAGAGUGCUCUGAGACUCAGUGUGUCUUUUUUCCUUGGUUUGACUCCUUUUUUAUAGUUGCUGGAGUAGACUUGGGUCUGCGUACUCGCGCUAAGCCUGCACUGCUCUCUUAGCGCAUAAUUCCUGUAUUUGCGUUAAGUCUGCGUUGCUCGCUUAGCGCGGGUGCUUGUAUUUGCGCUUAGCGCACUUCUUCUUGCUUAGCGCUAGUGCGUGUUUUCGCUCUAAGCGCGCGUUGAGCGCUGAACGUGUCUUGGGUUGAGUCUGAUGCCAAAAUCUUCCUUCUUCAUAUUUUUUAUAUUUUCGACAUCUUUUUUGCUUUUAAUAUUUUCUUUUCAUAUCUGCAAGCCAUAAAUAGAAAAAACAUCAAUUUUUAACCAUUAAACAUAAAUAACUGCUAAAUAAAUAUUUUUAAGGUUAAUUUCAUUAUAAAAAAUAACUCAUAUUUAACAGUUAUGAGUGUACAGAACUUGUAAUUCCAACCUACUUACUUAGAGAGGAUGCUAGCUAACUCAUCUAUAUCUCCAAAUUUGCAUCAAGGUUAUGAUGAGUACUCCACUAACUCUAGGAUGGUGUAAUAUUAAUAUAUAUUGCAUAAAUUAAAUAAAAAUAACAACAUUAAAAAUGCUUGAAAUUUUGCAUGUUACGAUCAAACUAACUCAAAUAAUAAUGAUACAGUACUUUUCAACUAUCGUCAUUGAUUUUGCUUGCUCUAUAAAUAUCGAUAACUGUGAAAUUUGAAUUUAAUUGAUAGUUAAUUUUGAUUAUGUCAUGAUUAAAAUUUCUUUACUUUACUAUUGUUUUUAAGGAAAUAAUGAGGAUUUUAAUAUCAUUUUAAUUUUUGUUUAGUAGGAUUUAAAGGAAGAAAAUUACAUGUGCUUUUGAGGGAAAAUUGAUGCAAAAACGUGAAGAAAAAACCUUCAAGAAAAAGUUGAAGAUUGGGGUAACUCACUUAGCACACAAGACAGACCCAACACAUCAACUCGCUUAGCGGCCAGCACAAGCUUAGCGCGAAUCCCGUGCUAAGUGCGUGAUCAUUGUCAUACCCACUAAGCCUAGAAGGGCGCACUUAGCGCGAGGUCGCGUGAAUUUCAAACUACCUUAAGCCUAUAAUAAAAGGAGUAGGAAGCAAAGGAGAGAGACACACCGAGACUCAAAGCUCUCUAAUAGCCUAAGUAUCUCAAAUAGGAAAAACCCACUUUCUAUAUCCAUUAUCCCCUUCUCCUCCUCUAUCCAUCCCUCUUCUUCUUCUAUUCCCAUCAACUUCUAAAGUGUAAAGUCUCUCAUGAUUAUGAGAGUCUAAACCCCCAUUGUUGGGAGUCAAGCGAUCAAACUCUUGUAAUGUAAUUCUUUCAUACUAUCUAUUUAAUGCAAGUCUGAUUUUUACUAUUAUUUUUUAUACUUUAUUGUUGCUGAUUGUGGUCUGAUUACCCAUACUUAUGCAUUGUUUAGGAAGUAAUGCAUUAGAAAAUGGUUAUUUUCUAAAGAAGUGAGAAGGAACAUCUAAAUGAAAUCAUGUAUAGAAAUAGAGUGAUGUUUGUUUAGCCUAUUUCAUGCAUCGUUUUUUAAAUAUAUAUAUAUAUAUAUAUAUAUAUAUAUAUAUAUAAUUAAUUAAUAAAGGUCAAUCACUUGAAUAUAUUUAAUAAUGAUUUUAUAUGUCUAAUCUACCAGAAAUAUCCUUGAUUCACUGAGAAAAUAAGGAUUUUUCUGUUUUGACCGGACAUUAAUCUACGUGGCUGAAGCUGACUAACUUUUGUUUUUCUUCUUGUCUUUGUGAAUAGUCCAUUAUCAAAGACGUAAUAUAAGAUUACCGAAUCGCUUUGCUGAGUGUUUUAAUUUUUAAAGAAAAAUUGCAUGAUUGGAUUUGACUUCAUUCUUGGCCGCCUCAUACUAAUUACGUCAAUUGAGUUUUACCCAUUUAAUUUACUUUUUUAAUUAGCUAAUUUUAUUUCAGUACUACUGAGAUAUGACUAAAUACUAUUUUGCGACUACAACUAUUUAUUAUUCAAUUGUACUUAAAUUAAUGUUGUUUAUCAAUUCAUGUUUCUUUAUAUGAUAAAUAAUUUGACUUUUUUUAAUAAGAUAGCGAGUCACAUAAAUAAAUUAAAAACUUAUAUUCAUAAGGCUAAACUAUAUUUUUAGUUAUUUAUGUUUUAGAUUAUAUUCAAGUUGUUCUCUUAUUUUUUUAAAAAAAUUUAAGUAGUAUUUUAUUUAUUUUUAAAUAAGUUGAAAUAAUUCUUCUAAAAUAAUGAUCGUAUAUUAACAGCACCUACAAAAGAUUAAACUUGUAAGGUGCACAUUUUUGUGUUAGAGUUGUACUCUCACUAGUAAUCUAAUUUAAAUUGAGUUUGAUAAAAUGAUAAAAAAAACUAAGACUUAUUCUUAUAUUUACAAAACUUGAAGAAGUGAAGACCCUUUAAUUUACAUUGCCUGGAUUGGUCGAAUGGUAUGGUAUCAAAUAAUCUGAACUUCCAAAUCAAAUGUUAAUUUCAAUUUUGUUGAUCGGGAUGACACAAAAGCAUACAGAAAUCGGUCCAAAUUGGUCAUUAUCUAAUUGGACAGUAAUGUGACUGUUGAGACUUGAGAGAAGAGUAAUUUCAGAUAGCAAGUUUCUGAAUGCUGAGUGCUUCUGGAUAAAGAUUACAUUUCAAUGUUUAACGUAGACAUUUGACAAUACUCAUUUACUUGUCUGUGACAAAAAAAAAAAUAGAAAAAGUCUAGGGGAAUAUGAUUGGUAAGUGGUAACCUAUUUAACAACUAAUGUGGAAAGGACAAUUUACAAGGAAGGUUGUGAUACGAGCAAGCUUAUAAUCCCAGAAAAUAGAGGAAGCACCAGCAGCAAAGGUGCAAAGAGAAGAAGAGACCAAGAGAAGAGUGGUGAAGCCAGCAUACCUUGAUGAUGACGUCUAAGAGGCAGAAUUGGAAGACCGGAUUAAUAGAAUCAGCACCAAAUCCUGCUUGGGGUGUUUACUCCCUCAUAGACAUACAUGCAUAACAAGAUCUGUUAUUAGAAUAUUCCUUUUGGAUAAGAAUUGAUACAAAUCUGUUAUGUGAAUUCCUCUAUAUAUAGCCAUGUAAAUAAACAAGCAGGAUAUGAGAAAUAGAAUUUCCUCCUUACCAUGAGCUUGUCUUCUUCUUAUCUUCUUCUUCUGGAGGUGCUGGACCCUCGAAAGCAGCAACCACAAACCCAGCACCUAACAGGUUGCUAGAAUGUAAAAAUGUUAGCAUAUAUUCAAGGUCUUAAAUAAUUUUCUAUCUAAUUGCAACAAAUAUUUUGCAAAAAUAAAUGGUUAUAGCUUAACGAUAUAUCACGUAGAGCUUGUUGCUGGUGAUUGCAACUUUUAUGGGCCGGCAUGGCAUGUUUAUCCUUCUGCUCAAAGCUACUAUGGAGGCAAU